AGAAACAGCAAUAGGAUUAAUUCCUGAUGUUGGUGGAACAUAUUUCCUACCUAGAUUAAAAGGCAAAUUGGGUCUUUAUCUUGGACUAACCGGAGAACGAUUAAAAGGCAUUGAUGUAUUACUUGCGGGUAUUGCAACUCACUUUGUUCCUUCUGAGAAGUUAGGAGAUUUAAAACAAGAGUUACUAAUAACUGAGCCACCUGAUAUUACAAAAAUUUUAAAUAAGUAUCAACCUCAAAAUUUAAAUAACGAAUUUUCCCUAACACCGUAUUUAAAUCAAAUUGAUAAAUGUUUCUCUGCAUCUUCUGUGGAGGAAAUAAUAGAUAG